ensembl:lncRNA
GCAACAAAAUAUGAAUAUAAAAUUAAUUGUAAAAGCUAGAGAAUAUAGGGUAAUUUUUAAAUUAUUAUAAGACUAAAAUAUUCCACUAACAUGUUUUAGUUAAAAAAUAAUAAUUUCAUGUUAUAACAAGGGCUUCAAAGGAAGGAAGAGCUCAAAGAAGAGGGUUGUGGAAGAGAGUCAGGGCUACUUUAGAUACAGAAGGUGAAUCUGUGGGUGGUGAAUAUGAGCUGAGAAAAAGUUGCCUCUUUUAAAGAGGUUCUCAGUGAAAAGCCUGGAGAAGGCAAUGGCAACCCACUCCAGUGUUCUUGCCUGGAGAAUUCCCGGGAUGGGGGUGCCUGGUGGGCUGCCGUCUCUGGGGUUGCACAGAGUCGGAAACGGCUGAAGCGACUUAGCAGUAGCAGCAGCAGCAGCAGCAGCAGCAGCGAAAAGCCAGGCUUGGCUUGAGGUGAAAAGGUAAAAAAAGACUGAAAAAAGCUGAGGUUCUGGUACUGACACUGAACUCAGAGCUGGUUCAGGGUUCCCAGAUGGCUCAGGGAAGUUUGUUAUGUGGUGGAUCCCCAAGUGUUUAAUGGAUUAAGGACAGUGAACAAAACGCAAAUUCUUUCAUCUGUCACUCCACAUGUGUUAAUAGAGUAUUACAACUUAUUAGGAACUCUUUUGGGUCUUUGGGCUGCAUCCACAAACAAAAGAAAAAUUUCUACUUGGUGGAGCUUAUAUUCCAACUGGGUAAGAAAGAAAAUAAUGAACAAAAGUAAUCCCCAAGGAAAUGAUGUCCUAGGUUAGGAGGUGUUACAUGUUAUGGAAAAGGAGACAAACCAGGGAGAGCAGGAUAAAAGGGGGAGUGAGGAGCAUGCAGGCAGAGGCAUGUGCGUGCGCGCGCGCGCGCGCGCGUGUGUGUGUGUGUGUGUGUGUGAUCUAAAAUAGAGUGGUCGGCAUAGGCCUCAGUUGGAGGUAAGGCUGAAGGAUGUGAGAGAUUUCACUGUGCAGAUGGACAGGGAAGAGGGGCCCAAGCAGACUGAACAGCCAGCACGAAGGCCUAGAGGGCUUAAACAUCUUGUCACAGGAUGGAAACUCGUCUCUGCCCUGGAGUUGGGGGCUCAAUACCAAGGAGUUGGGAGCAAACCUGUCGGUUAAGAAAUCCAACUAAUAGAAACUGAAAUUCCCCAAGAUCCAAGAGGAGAAAAUGACUGCAAGGUAAAAAAUAGCGUCACUACUAAUGGUUUGAUAUGAGUAUAUCCCCAGUCUUCAAGGCUCAUACAAACCUACAUUUGAGCUUGAAUAUAACUAAAGAAACACUGUUUUAUUACCACGUUGUUUCAUUCCUCAGCAGGUCAUAGAUCUACCUGGUUAUCAAUAGACUUUGAUCUACCUUUUCAAGGGUUCAUAACAGUCCAUUGUAAGGAAGUGAUUUUACCAGUCUGCUACUGAGAGGGAAUUUUCAGUUGUUUCCAAUUUUUGGUUAUUACAAAGAAUGCU